GUGAGUAACACGUGGAUAACCUACCUAUAAGACUGGGAUAACUUCGGGAAACCGGAGCUAAUACCGGAUAAUAUUUUGAACCGCAUGGUUCAAAAGUGAAAGACGGUCUUGCUGUCACUUAUAGAUGGAUCCGCGCUGCAUUAGCUAGUUGGUAAGGUAACGGCUUACCAAGGCAACGAUGCAUAGCCGACCUGAGAGGGUGAUCGGCCACACUGGAACUGAGACACGGUCCAGACUCCUACGGGAGGCAGCAGUAGGGAAUCUUCCGCAAUGGGCGAAAGCCUGACGGAGCAACGCCGCGUGAGUGAUGAAGGUCUUCGGAUCGUAAAACUCUGUUAUUAGGGAAGAACAUAUGUGUAAGUAACUGUGCACAUCUUGACGGUACCUAAUCAGAAAGCCACGGCUAACUACGUGCCAGCAGCCGCGGUAAUACGUAGGUGGCAAGCGUUAUCCGGAAUUAUUGGGCGUAAAGCGCGCGUAGGCGGUUUUUUAAGUCUGAUGUGAAAGCCCACGGCUCAACCGUGGAGGGUCAUUGGAAACUGGAAAACUUGAGUGCAGAAGAGGAAAGUGGAAUUCCAUGUGUAGCGGUGAAAUGCGCAGAGAUAUGGAGGAACACCAG
rnacentral:rRNA from 1 species